rnacentral:rRNA from 1 species
GAUGAACGCUGGCGGCGUGCCUAAUACAUGCAAGUCGAGCGAACAGACGAGGAGCUUGCUCCUCUGACGUUAGCGGCGGACGGGUGAGUAACACGUGGAUAACCUACCUAUAAGACUGGGAUAACUUCGGGAAACCGGGGCUAAUACCGGAUAAUAUAUUGAACCGCAUGGUUCAAUAGUGAAAGCCGGUUUUGCUGUCACUUAUAGAUGGAUCCGCGCCGCAUUAGCUAGUUGGUAAGGUAACGGCUUACCAAGGCAACGAUGCGUAGCCGACCUGAGAGGGUGAUCGGCCACACUGGAACUGAGACACGGUCCAGACUCCUACGGGAGGCAGCAGUAGGGAAUCUUCCGCAAUGGGCGAAAGCCUGACGGAGCAACGCCGCGUGAGUGAUGAAGGUCUUCGGAUCGUAAAACUCUGUUAUUAGGGAAGAACAAAUGUGUAAGUAACUAUGCACGUCUUGACGGUACCUAAUCAGAAAGCCACGGCUAACUACGUG